GACGAACGCUGGCGGCGUGCCUAAUACAUGCAAGUCGAGCGAAGUUUUUCUGGUGCUUGCCCUAGAAAAACUUAGCGGCGAACGGGUGAGUAACACGUAAAGAACCUGCCUCAUAGACUGGGACAACUAUUGGAAACGAUAGCUAAUACCGGAUAACAGUAUUUCUCGCAUGAGAGAUAUUUAAAAGUUGGUUAUGCUAACACUAUGAGAUGGCUUUGCGGUGCAUUAGCUAGUUGGUGGGGUAAAGGCCCACCAAGGCGACGAUGCAUAGCCGACCUGAGAGGGUGAUCGGCCACACUGGGACGGAGACCAGGCCCUGACUCCUACGGGAGGCAGCAGUAGGGAAUCUUCCACAAUGGGCGCAAGCCUGACGGAGCAACGCCGCGUGAGUGAAGAAGGAUUUCGGUUCGUAAAGCUCUGUUGUUAGGGAAGAAUGGAUAUGUAGUAACUAUACAUGUAAGAGACGGUACCUAACCAGAAAGCCACGGCUAACUACGUG
rnacentral:rRNA from 1 species